rnacentral:rRNA from 1 species
GACGAACGCUGGCGGCGUGCCUAAUACAUGCAAGUUGAGCGAUGAAGCUUGGUGCUUGCACCAAUUUGAAGAGCAGCGAACGGGUGAGUAACGCGUGGGGAAUCUGCCUUUGAGCGGGGGACAACAUUUGGAAACGAAUGCUAAUACCGCAUAAUAACUUUAAACAUAAGUUUUAAGUUUGAAAGAUGCAAUUGCAUCACUCAAAGAUGAUCCCGCGUUGUAUUAGCUAGUUGGUGAGGUAAAGGCUCACCAAGGCGAUGAUACAUAGCCGACCUGAGAGGGGGAUCGGCCACAUUGGGACUGAGACACGGCCCAAACUCCUACGGGAGGCAGCAGUAGGGAAUCUUCGGCAAUGGACGAAAGUCUGACCGAGCAACGCCGCGUGAGUGAAGAAGGUUUUCGGAUCGUAAAACUCUGUUGGUAGAGAAGAACGUUGGUGAGAGUGGAAAGCUCAUCAAGUGACGGUAACUACCCAGAAAGGGACGGCUAACUACGUG